GAUGAAGAACGUAGCGAACUGCGAUAAGUAAUGUGAAUUGCAGAAUUCAGUGAAUCAUCGAGUCUUUGAACGCACAUUGCGCCCCCUGGUAUUCCGGGGGGCAUGCCUGUCCGAGCGUCAUUGCUGCCCUCAAGCCCGGCUUGUGUGUUGGGCCGUCGUCCUCCUCCCGGGGGACGGGCCCGAAAGGCAGCGGCGGCACCGCGUCCGGUCCUCGAGCGUAUGGGGCUUCGUCACCCGCUCUUGUAGGCCCGGCCGGCGCUUGCCGACACAUCAAUCUUUUUUCCAGGUUGACCUCGGAUCAGGUAGGGAUACCCGCUGAACUUAAGCAUAUCAAUAAGCGGAGGA
rnacentral:misc_RNA from 1 species